AUUGAACGCUGGCGGCAGGCCUAACACAUGCAAGUCGAACGAGUGGCGGACGGGUGAGUAAUGUCUGGGAAACUGCCCGAUGGAGGGGGAUAACUACUGGAAACGGUAGCUAAUACCGCAUACCAUCGGAUGUGCCCAGAUGGGAUUAGCUUGUAGGUGGGGUAACGGCUCACCUAGGCGACGAUCCCUAGCUGGUCUGAGAGGAUGACCAGCCACAUUGGCAUGGAGACACGGUCCAGACUCCUACGGGAGGCAGAAGUGGGGAAUAUUGCACAAGGGGCGCAAGCCUGAUGCAGCCAUGCCGCGUGGAUGAAGAAGGCCUUCGGGUUUGAAAGUACUUGCAGCGGGGAGUCGUUACCAGCAGAAGACGCACCGGCUAACUCCGUGCCAGCAGCCGCGGUAAUAC
rnacentral:rRNA from 1 species